AAGAGGAGAAGAAAGAGAGGAAAGCAGAAGAAGAGGAGAGAGAGAGAGAUACCCAAUUGUUUAGUGCUGUGAGUGUUUCGCUUUUGCGUGAGGUCUAUGAGUGUUUCUUGUGACGUAGGCUGGUAGGGUUUUAAUUUUAUUUGGGUUAAAAGAAAUUAAAAAAGAAAAAAAAAUUUACUCCAAAGAGGCAUCGCCUCAGUGCCUCGGAGCCCCUUGCCUCGCCUGCUGGGGGCGCUCGCCUUAUUGAAGGCAAGCUAGGCUGUGCCAGGCGAGGCGCUAGAGGGGCGCCUCCCCUCAGUGCCUCUGGCGCCCUUAAUAACACUGAAUACAAAUAGCAAAGAACUUUUGAUAUGU
rnacentral:misc_RNA from 1 species